CGCUGGCGGCAUGCCUUACACAUGCAAGUCGAACGGCAGCACGGGAGCAAUCCUGGUGGCGAGUGGCGAACGGGUGAGUAAUGUAUCGGAACGUACCUUUCAGUGGGGGAUAGCGUAGCGAAAGUUACGCUAAUACCGCAUAUUCUGUGAGCAGGAAAGCAGGGGAUCGCAAGACCUUGCGCUGAUUGAGCGGCCGAUAUCAGAUUAGCUAGUUGGUGAGGUAAAGGCUCACCAAGGCGACGAUCUGUAGCGGGUCUGAGAGGAUGAUCCGCCACACUGGAACUGAGACACGGUCCAGACUCCUACGGGAGGCAGCAGUGGGGAAUUUUGGACAAUGGGCGCAAGCCUGAUCCAGCCAUGCCGCGUGAGUGAAGAAGGCCUUCGGGUUGUAAAGCUCUUUCAGCCGGGAAGAAAACGCAUGGGUUAAUACCCUGUGUGGAUGACGGUACCGGAAUAAGAAGCACCGGCUAACUACGUG
rnacentral:rRNA from 1 species